rnacentral:lncRNA from 1 species
CAGUGAAAAGGGGAGAAAAAUACCCCCAAGAGGUCUGCAAAAACCGGGCUCAUGGACGGAUGUUCUCCAUUCAACCACAGCUUAGUCUGACAGGUCACUG